rnacentral:misc_RNA from 1 species
UCUCUCUUUCUUGGCCAAGUAACUGUUGGGGGGGUGGGUGGGGUUAGGGGUGGGGGAGGGGCAGCUGACUCAUUCACAUUCCACAGAAGGCGUCAGCAUCAGGGAUUGAAUACCGAGAGAUACAUAUAUUUCUCUCUCUCCAUUUCUCAUUCGCCUGCUCCCUGUUUUCGCCCCCUGUCAGAUCUCUCUUUCUUGAGAUGUUACUGUUAACCUUGUUACUCUGUUCCCCCCUCCCUCUAGUCUAGUCUAAUCUGUCAUUUCCCUUCUGUCCGUUUCUCUCUCUAGGGUUUGGCUCCUUUAAGGCUUGACCUGGUUUUGUUUCAUUUUAUUUAUCGUGUGUCGUUCAUAGUCUCUCGUGCUGGAGAUGCGUCGAAGAAGAACCUUGGUUUUAAGUACUUGAUGAAAAAUAUACAUUAUGAAGAAUUUAAGGCAAUGGGCAGUGGCAUUUGCACCUGGAAAUGAAGGAGAGGCAGCGUUGGAGAGCUGAAGAGGACGCUUUGUUACGUGCAUAUGUUAAACAAUAUGGUCCAAAAGAGUGGAACCUUGUGUCACAGCGCAUGAACACAACCCUAAACAGGGAUGCCAAAUCCUGCUUAGAAAGGUGGAAGAACUACCUCAAGCCUGGUAUAAAGAAAGGAUCCCUUACUGAAGAAGAGCAGCGUCUUGUUAUCCGACUUCAAGCCAAACACGGUAACAAAUGGAAGAAAAUCGCGGCUGAAGUUCCAGGCCGAACUGCUAAGAGACUUGGAAAGUGGUGGGAAGUGUUCAAGGAGAAGCAGCAAAGAGAGCAGAAGGAAAACAACAAGACAGUAGAACCAAUUGACGAGGGCAAAUACGAUAGGAUUCUAGAGACUUUUGCGGAGAAGCUAGUGAAAGAACGCCCUACUCCAGCAUUUGUCAUGGCCACUUCCAAUGGGGGCUUUCUUCAUACUGAUCCCCCUCCUGCACCAACUCUGCUUCCCCCCUGGCUUUCCACUUCCAACAGCACAUCAGCUGUCAGGCCACCCUCCCCUUCUGUAACACUAAGCCUCUCACCUUCAACAGUUGCUGCACCGCCUCCUUCAAUCCCCUGGCUGCAGCCUGAGAGAGGACAGGAGAACACUGCUUUUGUUUUAGGAAGUUUGCCACCCCAUGGAUCAGUCCCUGGUGAGAAUUUGAUGGUAUCUGAGUUGAUGGAGUGUUGCAGAGAGUUGGAAGAAGGGCAUCGUGCAUGGGCUGCACAUAAGAAGGAAGCUGCCUGGAGGCUAAAAAGGGUAGAGUUGCAGCUGGAGUCAGAGAAGUCAUGCCGGAGGAGGGAGAAAAUGGAAGAGAUAGAGUCAAAGAUCAAGGCUCUUAGGGAAGAGCAGAAGGCCUCUCUUGACAGAAUUGAAGCAGAAUACAGGGAACAGCUAGCUGAAUUGAGAAGAGAUGCUGAAACCAAGGAGCAGAAAUUAGCUGAGCAAUGGGCUGCAAAGCAUUUGCGUCUUUCCAAGUUUCUUGAACAAAUGGUGUGCAGGCCAAGGCUUGCAGAGCACAAUGGCCGAUAAGAAAUCUAUGUAUCUGGUCGAAAUAGGUUUAAGGGGUGGCUUGCUGGUUUCGUAAGGGAAGCUUGCUUUUAGGAUGAUUUCUAUUAAUGGAUGUCUACUUACGUUUAAUGUCUGCUUAUGGCUUGGACUGGGUGAAUGUAAGGUAUGGUUAGCUUAACAUUCUAUAUGUGGCAUUCUCUUUUGCAGAAAUAUAUCAUAAUUUUAUUCCAAAAAAAAAAAAAAAAAA